ACAGUUAACCUGUGGCCACUCAGCAGUGUGACUGAGCAACUGUUGCCUGGCCUGACAACCUGAGGCGAGACUUGUCUGGAACGGAACUCAGACGGAAGACCGCUUGUCUGGAUGGUUUGCGUAAACGCUUUGCUCCCAGAGGUACAUCUAACUGGGGAACCUAAACGUAUCCAAAACACCUGGCCACAAGGAAGUAUGAGAAGUGUAGAUUUUAGCUUUCAAGCCUUUGCAUAACAGGAAGGCACGCUGACAAAAGCUGAAACGCGCGUGACCAGCCAAGUUACAAAGCUAUUGUACGGAAUAAAGCUCUCUGUUUUACACUAAUUCGAAGGAUUUAGGGUUCUGAAGAUUAUUCAGGUGAAUUACACACACGCAGAUGAAGAUUGCCGACGCCAUCGAUCUGCCUGCAGGCGUGCUGGUGCCGUGAAUGUCGCCCUUGUCUUUUGCUGGUUUGUGGUGAGUCAUCACCUGCCUCAUCACUACAGAAUGACGAGUUUGUUAAAUAUGCCAUCUCGUCUCUGAAGUUUGGAUUUAUUGUAGCUAGUGCAAUACAUCACAAUGCCUGCUCAUCCCUUAUCGAAACUGACAUCAACACACUAUCAUAUUCUUUUCUGUUUUUAUUUAAAAAUGCAACAAUUAUUAAAAAAUGCUUUCUGUCAAGCAACGUUUCAAUUAACCACUCCAGAGCUCUGCUGAGAGUGGUAGAAUUAAGAUUUUUAUCUACCUACAUUAAAGAAAUGGGAACAGGGCUUCCCUGGAGGCGCAGUGGUUGAGAGUCCGCCUGCCGAUGCAGGGGACGCAGGUUCGUGCCCCGGUUUGGGAAGAUCCCACAUGCCGCGGAGCGGCUGGGCCCGUGAGCCAUGGCCGCUGAGCCUGCGCGUCCGGAGCCUGUGCUCCGCAACGGCAGAGGCCACAACG